UUUGUCUAAAGUUUGGUUUUGGAUGGUUAAUAUUCAAUUAUUGGUUAAAUCUUUUUGAAUAUUGGUUUUACAAAUUUCAAUUAAUUGAGCCAGAAGAUCGGUUACUACUUAAUAUGCACGGGGGAUUUUAUAUCUGAUCACAUGAUUCAUGAUUGUCUGGGUUUUCAAUGUUGCAAAUUCAAACUAUAUAUUGUGCAAAAAUCGCUUUUCUGACUCUAGUUUUUCCUUUCAUUUUCAUCAUUGAUUUCCCCUUGAUUAUAUGCAAGGAACAUACUCUACAUCUUGUGCAACAGUCACUCUUUUGUUGUGUACUUUCAUUAUCAACUUUGGUUUACCCUUACCGUAACCUGUGCAAAAAUCACUCUUUUGCUUCACUAUACUUCCAUUUAGUUUACCCUCCAUUAUCAACUCUUUUGUUGUGUACUUUCAUUAUCAACUUUGGUUUACCCUUAACCUGUGCAAAAAUCACUCUUCUGCUUCACUAUACUUCCAUUUAGUUUACCCUCUAUUAUAUGUAAAUCACAUACUCACUAUACUCACUAUAUCUUGUGCAAGAUUCCUUCUUCUGUCUCAAUAUACUUUUUCUUUUCAUUUUUGUUUUCCCCAUGAUUAAAUGCAAUUUAAAUUUACAUUCCUUUAUUGCAG
rnacentral:lncRNA from 1 species